CGGACCUUGGCCGGGGAUGCUGGCGGGAUGCCGGGCUCCGGAGCGGCCGCGCUGGCCUGGGCGCUGCUGGCCGGGGCACUGCUGCUGCUGCCCCCGCCGCCCGUCCUGCCCCAGCCCCAGCCCCACCGGCGGAACGUGAGCGAGACGGAAGCCCAGUUCAACACCACCUACACCGACUGGGUGGACGCCGACCUGCUCCACAUCUACGCCUUCAACCACAGCGUGCGCAGGAACACGACCGAGGGCGUGCGGGUGUCGGUGAACGUCCUCUCCGACCACAAGGACCUGCCUGUGCUCUUCGUAGUGAGGCAGAAGGAGGCGGUGGUCUCCUUCCAGGUGCCGCUCAUCCUCCGGGGUCUGUACCAGCGGAAAUACGCGUACCAGGAGGUGAGCCGGACACUCUGCCAGCCACAGACCAAGGCUGAGGUGGAGACCCAGCACUUCUACGUGGAUGUCUCCACGCUCUCCCUCAACGCCUCCUACCAGCUGCGGGUCACACGCGUGGAGAACUUUGUGCUGCGGACAAAUAAAAGGUUCAGCUUCAACGCCACGGCCGCCCAGCCACAGUACUUCAAGUAUGAGUUCCCUGAGGGAGUGGACUCGGUGAUUGUGAAGGUGACCUCGGCCAUGGCCUUCCCCUGCUCUGUCAUCUCCAUCCAGGACAUCCUGUGCCCUGUCUACGACCUGGACAACAACGUGGCCUUCAUCGGGAUGUACCAGACCAUGACGAAGAAGGCGGCCAUCACGGUGCAGAAGAAGGAUUUCCCCAGCCACAGCUUCUACGUGGUGGUGGUGGUGAAGACGGAGGAUGAGGCGUGUGGGGGGCCUCUGCCCUACUACCCCCUCUCCAAAAACUCCUCUCCAGAUGAACCUGUAGAUCAGCACAACCGGCAGAAGAUGCUGGAGGUGAUGGUGUCACCUGCCAUAACCUCGGAGGCCUACGUGAGCAGUGUACUCUUCUGCCUCAGCAUCUUCCUCUCCUUCUACGUCCUCACGCUGCUCAUCGCCUGCUGGGAGAGCUGCCGGCAGCACAAGAGGAAGGGGCUCCUGUCAGCCAUGGACUCGCCCAGCCUGGACACAGCGUCACUCCUGGGUCACUCCCGCAGCAUCCCCGACUCCUUCCUGGGCCGUGGUUACGACAGCUACGGUUACGGCUCCUUCGGGAACGGCUCCUCCAGCAGCACCGAGGGUGUCACGGACAGCCUGGGCUCCACAGAAGUCUCCUACAGUUACGUGGGGCAGGAGCAGUUCAAGCGGCGCACGCCCUCCGCCCCGACGAGGCCGCUGAGCAUUCCCAUGGGGGAGCGAUCCCUGGAGAACGUGGCCGGCCGGCCCCGCCUGGACUCGCUCAGCUCCGUCGAGGAGGACGACUACGACACCCUGGCUGACAUUGACUAUGACAAGAACGUCAUCCGCACCAAGAAAUACCUGUGUGUGGCCGACCUGGCGCGCAAGGACAAGCGGGUGCUGCGGAAGAAGUACCAGAUCUACUUCUGGAACAUCGCCACCAUCGCUGUCUUCUACGCCCUGCCCGUCAUCCAACUUGUCAUCACCUACCAGACAGUGGUGAACGUCACUGGCAACCAGGACAUCUGCUACUACAACUUCCUGUGUGCCCACCCGCUGGGGAACCUCAGCGCCUUCAACAACAUCCUCAGCAACCUGGGCUACAUCCUGCUGGGUUUGCUCUUCCUGCUCAUCAUCCUGCAGCGCGAGAUCAACUACAACCGGGCGCUCAUGCGCAACGACACCCACGCCCUGGAGUGCGGCAUCCCCAAGCACUUCGGGCUCUUCUACGCCAUGGGCACCGCGCUCAUGAUGGAGGGGCUGCUCAGCGCCUGCUACCACGUCUGCCCCAACUACACCAACUUCCAGUUCGACACCUCCUUCAUGUACAUGAUCGCGGGGCUCUGCAUGCUGAAACUGUACCAGAAGCGCCACCCAGACAUCAACGCCAGCGCCUACAGCGCCUACGCCUGCCUGGCCCUCGUCAUCUUCUUCUCCGUGGUCGGCGUGGUCUUCGGGAAGGGGAACACGGCCUUCUGGAUCGUCUUCUCUGUCAUCCACAUCUUGGCCACGCUGCUGCUGAGCACCCAGCUCUACUACAUGGGGCGCUGGAAGCUGGACUCGGGCAUCCUGCGCAGGAUCCUGCACGUGCUGUACACGGACUGCGUCCGGCAGUGCAGCGGGCCCAUGACCGAAUGGUGCUCCUGGUCAUGGGAAACAUCAUCAACUGGUCGCUCGCUGCCUACGGCCUCAUUGUCCGCCCCAAUGACUUCGCUUCCUACCUGCUGGCCAUCGGCAUCUGCAACCUCCUCCUCUACUUCGCCUUCUACAUCAUCAUGAAGCUCCGCAGCGGCGAGCGCAUCAAGCUCAUCCCCCUGCUCUGCAUCAUCAGCACCUCUGUGGUCUGGGGCUUUGCCCUCUUCUUCUUCUUCCAGGGGCUCAGCACCUGGCAGAAAACACCAGCGGAAUCUCGGGAGCACAACCGUGACUGCAUCCUGCUCGACUUCUUUGACGACCACGACAUCUGGCACUUUCUCUCCUCCAUCGCCAUGUUCGGCUCCUUCUUGGUGCUGCUGACACUGGACGAUGACCUGGACUGCAUCCAGCGGGACAAGAUCUACGUCUUCUAAGAGCCCACAGACGCUCCCUGGGACUGUGCCAAACACCCCGCUGCAGCCCCGGGAGGGGGGACCCACCCCCGGGGAGGGAUGUCCGUGCUGCAGGUCCUGCCAGCCGCUCCGUCCCCCUCCCCACGCAGCCUGGGGGUCCCGGUGCACCUCCUCCCUGUCAGCCAGGUCCUUCCAGGCACUACGUGCCCAUCCCUGGGCCUGUCGUGGCCAAAAACAGGGCUGGGGGGCCACCGGGGCGCCGUCCUCGGUGGCAAGUGACACUGGAAAAGGUGCUGCUGCUCCGUGUCCGUGUGCCCUUGGGCGCGGCGAGGGGAUUGUGGCCAGCGCUGUGCCAGCAGCCCCGCGGCCCCCCGAGCUCGUGGGUGUGGGUUUCUCUUCAGUGCCUGAGUCGUAUGGGUGGGAGGUGGGGGUGUGUGGGGCCAGCACGGUGGCGGCAGUGGCCGAGAGGCCCCACUCGUGUCUCCUGCAGUGUCCCAGGGGGGUGGCUGUGGCGGGCCCCCGUUGCCGCUCCCACCGAGGUGCCGCGCGCUGUCCGCGCGUGGAUCUGCUGGGAAGGGACUCGCAUUAAAGUGUCUGCACUUUG